ensembl:lncRNA
GGGGAAAGUUCCUUUGAUUUUUUUCUUUAGAAAAGCAGAGGAAAAUAAGCAGUUUUGUUGAAGAAGCUUAGAAAGAGAAAAGCAGUUGAUCCCCCGUGCCAAGUUACAGAGACCCAGCCAGACAAACCCAUCGAUAAGCCCCUCCCCCCCAAAAGACAAGAAUCAAUAAAAAACAUGGAGACACAUGAUAGAAAAAAAAACAAAUGAGAAAAGGAUUGCAAAAGUGAAGCAUCACUCCUAUGAAGUCUACACGCCUAAAGCAAUAUUACACUACAUGCAGCUACAAAAGGUUAGAGCUCAAAUCCCCAACUAACUGCUGAAUAACUCUGUCCUGAACUCGACAUGGACACAAGGCAGGCAGUGAUUUGUGAUCAGAAAUGUAGCAAAAUUAUAUCAGACAUACAGACAUCAACUGGCCUGCUGGUUAGCUCCCCUAAGAAUACAGACACCAAAAGAUGCAGGAAGGAGUAAAUUAUUUUUCAUGUGUUCACCAAAGUACGGUGCACAUCUUCAUCUUUAGUCUUUAUAAUGAUAACUUUGGUCAUCUCCCUGCAGCAGGAUAAUGGAGGCUAAAGUGUCGGGAGCACUACGUUAUCUAGGUGUCUACAUUCCUGUCACUUACAAGCCAAUCAGCUGACCGUUGUGAGAAUCUAAUUUUGUCCUAAUGUUUGUUUUUAAAGGGCUGAAGUGAUGGAAGUGGCCCUGGGUGUCAUUACAGUUAAGGUUUGUGUGGCUGUGGUUGAAGCUCCUAAUGAGCCUUUGACCAAACAAUUCCAGUUGUUUGAUUGUCAGGAGCAGCAGUGCAGUGAGGCAGAUUUGAAACAAUAUGUUGUUCUCCUAUUUACAACAAAAGGUGCUAGACUGCAUAAUUAUAAUUAUUCAAGAGAAAUAAUUUCAGCUCUAUAAAUGUUCAUAGUCUAGAUUGCACUGUUUUUAGGUUGUGAGUAGCAACAUUCGCAGUCAGCUGGGAGGUGGUGGCAUCAUUAAUGGCAGAGUGUUUUCCUUAAUAUAGUGCUGACAUGGUCAGUACAUAUUAAUCAGAAUUAAUCAGGAAUUAAAAAGCUACAGCCCGAUUAUUUGUUAAAAUGGUUACAAUCAUCAAAAGGACUCAACUCACCAAUGUGUACGUCAACAACAGUGGUGUCCUUUUUGCUUUCCUCCUUAGGUUUAGGGUUUAGAGCUGAUAAUGACUUAGACUUCAGAGGGCUAAAGCAAAUACUUUUUAAAAAUUCAAAGUGUUUGGUUUUUAUAAACUAGAUAAUUAAUAUAGUCUGAUAGCACAGCGAAGGCAUCGAGGUUUUAAGACCUCCGAGCACUGAAUAUUGCACAAAUACAAUAUUUAUCAGGACUAAAAUUCCAAAUUUGCAAUAAUAAUUUUUCUCCUCUACAAACAUGUAAAUAGUCUUGUGGUGAAUAAACCAAAACCUUUACUUGAGACAAGUUGAUGCAUUAAAAUUUUAAGACUUUGAAUUGAUUCUGAAUUUUAUUUUUUACCUAUAUGUCCGUCUCAGAACACCGUACCAUUUAUCCUUUUCAUCCAGAGCUAAUGAAAAGUAAAUGGUCUCAGUUUUAAUCUCCUAUCAAAGUCAAACCAUAUUCAUCCUUAGUUUAGAAUAUCUGUCGGUUUAUUUUCUGCACAUCACUGUUUCAUAUUAACACUUAACUCUGGGAGACAUUAACAUUGUUUUUACAGGCUGUUCUAAUAUCAAAUGAAAAUAGGCGCAUGAAGUGACUUUAGAAAGUACUAUACUUGUUCAAUUUGGUUUAUAAAGGACUUGAUCUUUGGUUGUUUCAAUUCCCUAUUGUAAUUAUUACUACUCAUUUAUUUAUUUGAUGUCUGCUAAUUUCCACAUUUUUGGAGUUUCGAGAUCAUGGGUUUUAUCUUCCAGUUAAAUUUGAAAAUGUGUUUUUAAUGUUCAGGAAAUUUGAUCUGGAAGUAGGAUGUGGAGUUGGGGGAGAGGAAUUUAUUGACUUGUAAUAAUAAUUUUGUGUGAUGUUAGAAGAACCACUCAUACUAGGAUCUACUUCUAAUCACUACAACAGAGAUAUUGUCACCAGCAUAUAUCUUCCAUCAGUUUUGGAAGAUAAAGUGGACAUGUGCUAUUUGUCCAUCUUUAUAUACAGUCAGCGGUUGCAUCUGUAGUCAGUGUGCCUGCCCAGCACCAAACAGCAGACCAGUUUAAGAGCAUUAAAGUGGCCCAGAAAUUGAAUUUAAUGCCACUUAAAUGGAACUACACUUGAGCAUUUUUCUCUUCACCAGCCUAACACACUGCUUAGAAAGAGUUCACAGGAAUACACAACAGGAUGAGUUCAUAUUUGCCUCCAACUGCUAAGUUUACGCAUGACUGACUGAAAAGUCACCCAACUGCAAACCUAAGGCUUGGUAUAAACCCUCAACACCCACACAAACCAACACUCUCCUUUGAACUUUAAAUCGGAAAUAUUAAAAAUAACACAGAAGAAUUAGCAAAACAAAAUGAAAUCCAAAUAUAAAAUCAAAAACCUUCACAGUCCAGCUUUAAAAUAAGACGUGUCACACUGUUUGUCUGUCCAUUCUUACAAAUGAACUGUUCGGCAGUAUUCAGAUUUGAUGCAAUAAAUACAACAGUUGAAAAAUAAAGGUUUAUAAAUAAAUGUUUACAUUGGCUAAC